CUUUCUUGCCCGUCUUCUUGCGCAUCCUCAUCUUGGGGAAAGAGGGCCAGGAGUAGUUGAAAGGAGAGUCCGAGUCCGAAUCCAUGGCUUUCGCGACCUCCCCCCUCCGGAGGGUGACCCUCACCCAGACGGGCGGCGCGCGGCGUUUGAUAUCAACACUAUAGGUGAGCGGCGGCUCAGACUCCGUCCAUCUUUGUUUCCCCUGCGCGGCUCAACGGGCUGCUGCUCGCGCUGCCUUCUUGUUCCCAGACGCUCUGACACUUCACGAGUGAGCCAGCAUGUUCCCCCUCCGCCUGAACCCCCACCAGCCGACAGAACCCUCCCCUUCCCCCUGCGACCACUCCGCACCAACUGUCCGACAGGGCGGGGGGGGCACGAGCUCCCUGCUCCAGUGUGUUCUCCGUCCGCCACUUUCUUUUCCUGCUCCCCUCUCGAGUCUGAGUCGAAACUUUAGGAGUCUCUGAAGUCUGUCUCUUCUAGCUAUCUAAUGCACACAGUACGGGGGGGGGGGAUGACCGAAGGAGAAGGAAGAAACGGGGAGAGAGAGAGACCCGAAUCCAACAUGAACUUCAGAGACUGCAAACACCGGGGGCAGACAGCGCGAGACAAGAUCAGAGUGAGGCCACCUUCCGGCCACGCGGAGUUCGGAGUCGACUGUGUCACCGCCAGCAGGAACAGGGGUGACUCAGGAUUCCUUCUCGGGGCCACGACCGCCGUAAACACAGAGUGACGUGACUCCCAAGACUCCAGAGCACCCAGAAUCAAAAUCUCCCAUUCCUGUCAAACUGCUGCUGUUACAUCAAAUCAACUUUAGGUGGAGCCAACAGAUCAGAGAUGUUCACUUCUUUCGAGUUCGCUGCAGCUAAAGAUUCAUCUGAAGGCCCAGAGGUCCACGAGACAAUGGAAGGAAGGAAAAUAAAUGGUUUAAUGUACAAUGUUCAACCUUAAGUUUCCACAGAUGUUCAUUAAAUACAAGUUUUCUCCA